UACGUAGGGUCCAAGCGUUAUCCGGAAUUACUGGGCGUAAAGAGUUGCGUAGGUGGCAUAGUAAGCGAGUAGUGAAAGCGUGUGGCUCAACCAUACAUCCAUUACUUGAACUGCUAAGCUAGAAGACGAGAGAGGUAGAUGGAAUUCCUGAUGUAGGGGUAAUAUCCGUAGAUAUCAGGAGGAACACCGAUGGCGUAAGCAGUCUACUGGCUCGUUCUUGACACUAAGGCACGAAAGCGUGGGUAGCAAACAGG
rnacentral:rRNA from 1 species